GUGCCAGCCGCCGCGGUAAUACGUAGGUGGCAAGCGUUGUCCGGAAUUAUUGGGCGUAAAGGGCUCGCAGGCGGUUUCUUAAGUCUGAUGUGAAAGCCCCCGGCUCAACCGGGGAGGGUCAUUGGAAACUGGGGAACUUGAGUGCAGAAGAGGAGAGUGGAAUUCCAUGUGUAGCGGUGAAAUGCGUAGAUAUAUGGAGGAACACCAGUGGCGAAGGCGACUUACUGGUCUGUAAUUGACGCUGAGGCUCGAAAGCGUGGGUAGCGAACAGGAUUAGAAACCCGCGUAGUCC
rnacentral:rRNA from 1 species